ACUAAUCUCAACCCCACCACAGAAUUCAGCCUCCCUCAUCAAAUUCAUCCUCUUCUUCCUUCCCCAAAGAUUCUCUUACUUUUCAUACUCAAUAAUCUUAUUCGUUCUCUUAAACUCAGUCUCUAUUUAAGAAUACAGAAACCCUAAUUCAAUUCUCACGAAAGAAAUAACAAGGGAUCCUUCUACAACCGGGACCAACAUUUCCUAUGUGUUUGACUAUUUUCCAGCUCAUAGUGUUGAAACAUUUAGGAAUUAGCUAGUUGUUCGAGGGACUGUCUCAAAAUCGGUUAGCGGAUGGUUGCAUAAUACCUCUGAAUGAUGUAGAUGAUUGUUGAGAAAUGUAUCAUAUAUAGAGCAAGAUGAUCAUAAUGUAUUGGUUUGAUGUCUCUGAUGUGACUGUCUUCAAGUUGUUCAGAACAAACAGGGUGUUUCAGACUCGACUGAUGGAUCGCUGGGUGGUGCCUCAUAAUCGCCUUGUUGAUUAUUGUCUGAGACAUCAACUUUUUUCGACUGUUUGUUGGGUAGUGAUUAUUAGGAGGUUCUAUAGUGCCCUUCCAUUUUGAAAAUUAUGUAUAUAGAAAGACAAUCAAAAUCAAAGAUGCUGCAUCACUUACUCUGAAGCACAAUUUCUGGAGUCUGCAUCACUUACUCUGAAGCACAAUUUCUCAUGUAUUUUCAAUUUCAAGGAAUAACAGCUUUUGAAGGGGUUGAUUCAGGCAUGUCUCUUGGGGGAAUUUGAAGGUGUUGCAUCUAUAUUUCUAAAGAAAUUGACAUAUAGUAUGCAUGAGAUGUGCUACGACAUUCUCGGGCCAGCUAGCUUUGGAGUUUGUACCAAGGAACCAAGGGUUGAUAGACAAGACUCACUUAUUUGAUAUUUGAGCUAAUGAAGAUUAUUCCAAACUACUUUGUCAAACUCUGUAUUGACCCUUGAAUACCACCACCAAAUCAUUGAGAUUUGUAAGAGCUAGACCUCGAACAUGGUAUUUUAUGGUUUUCUGUUUGCUAAUUGAGGUUAAAAGUAGUCCAGUCACAAGUGUUGCCAAACCUUCAUAUUUCACUUGGAGUACAUGGAGAAGUAAGGCAUUUUCUUGGUUAGGUAUUUAUAUCUACACAUAUUUGUUAACCACACUUCAAAGGAUUUCGUUUGGAUGAGCAUAAUCACUUUGAGAUUUUUCAAUUUGCGAUGACACGAUUUUGGUUGGUGAGGAUUCUUGGAACAAUCUUUGGACUUUUAAGGCCAUUCUUAGAGGUUUCGAAUUUGUUUCCGGAUUGCGUGUAAAUUUGAAUAAGAGUAGACUUUUUGGUGUGAAUCUUGACCCGGGGUUUAUCCAAGCCGGAGCUUCUUUCCUAAAUUGUGAGAUUGGUUUGUCUUCCUUUGUUUUCCUUGGUAUACCGGUCGGAAUAAAUCCUAGAAGAUGUGACAUGUGGAGACCGCUUGUUUCAAGAUUAAGAAGGAGAAUUGGAAGUUGGCAUAAUAGACAACUUUCGAUUGGCGGGAGGGUCGUUCUUUUGAAUUCCAUUUUAGCUAGCAUGCCAAUUUUUCUUUUAUCCUUUUAUAAGGCUCCGAAGACCAUCAUUAACGAAAUCAUUGCGAUCCAACGGUGUAGAAGAUAAGAAGAAGGUUAAUUGGAUUAGUUGGGAUACCGUGUGUCUUCCAAAAAAAGAAGGAGGACUUGGUGUGAAACAUUGUGGAAAGUUUAAUAAUGCGCUUCUUAGCAAAUGGAAGUGGCGUAUUUUGAACACGGAGAAUUCUUUUUGGACUAACAUUCUUUUUUGUAGGUAUGGAGAUAUUCAAAGAGCAAUGCUAAAGGAACCUCUGUAUCAUUCCCGUGAUAAAGUUUCACUUUGGUGGAAAGACCUUUGUUCGGUUGGUUGUGCGACAUUGGAUUCACCGCUAAAUUGGUUCAAAUCUUCCAUCUCUUACAAACUUGGUAAUGGCAUUUCUUUGGAAUUUUGGUUUGACACUUGGUUAGGCACAACACCUCUUGGUAUUCUUUUUCCGGAUUUACUUUCCUUAUCGAAUGAUCCGCAUGCAAAGGUGGCCGAUAUGGGUAGUUGGGAUGGAGAAAUUUGGAAUUGGUCUUUUGGCAUUUUCUGUAUUCGGAGGACAGGGCAGCCGCGACAAAUUUGGUUGAGUUGGUGAUUCUUCUCGCGCCGGUUCAGCCACAUCAUUCGGUGGAAGACUCUUUUGUGUGGUGGAGAAAUCCUUCCGGAUUCACGGUGAGUAAUGCGUAUGAUACCAUCUUGUUACUUGAGUCUCGGAGAGCUCCUUUGAAUAGCUCGAUAUCUCUAGCUUUCUCUCGUUUAUGGAAGACAAAGGUUCCGAGUCGCAUUCAUCUUUUUGGUUGGGGAUUGGUUUGGAAUAGACUUGCUUCAAAAGCGGAAUUGGCAAAGCGUGGAAUUUUGUUAGAUCAUAAUUUGUGGAUGUGUUCCUUAUGUGGUCGAUUUCAAGAGGAUUUGGAACAUCUUUUUGUUCAUUGUGAUAUAGCUAGAGAUUGGUGGAAUAAAUUGCUUCUUUGGCUUCGUUUGGAUGAUAUCACUUCGGCCGGGACUAUUUUGGAGCGGAUUGCUUGCUUGGAGAUUUCUUGUAAGGUACAUAUUCACUUAGAUGUGGGUUAUUUUUUGGUUUAAUUUUUUGUUGGGUUAUAUGGAAGUGUAGGAACGAAGUCAUUUUCAAAGGGACAAUUGUAUCAAAUUUUGAUGGGAUGGGGUUUAUCAGAUUCAUUGCUUGGGAAUGGUUCAUGUCUUUUUUUAAAGUGAAUGACACUUUUCUUUGGUCGGAUUGGUGUGUUGAUCCGAGACCAUUUUUUAGAUAGGUGGUUUUGGUUGUCCUUGAUCCGGUUGCAUCCGACGGGGAAUCCUACCAUUCUUUUCUUUUCUUCCUUUCUUUUUGUUCUUUUGGUUGUGGAUUAAGCACCCCUAGUGCUUGUUAAUAUAUCCCUUUGCUUAUAAAAAAAAUAUUCUAAUGUGAAGUCUCUUAACCUUGGUUGAA